rnacentral:rRNA from 1 species
CAUUAAAAAGUUAGUUGUGAAAUUCAAUUUAAUUUGAAAGUUAAUUUUUAUUAAGUUUAAAAUUUUAUUUUUUAUUAAAUUAAGAAAAAAAUAAUUUUAUUAUUAUUAAGAAAAAAUUAAAUUUAUUAUAGUGAAAUAGUAUUGUGAAAGAAAAUUAUAUUUUUUAUAAAGAAAAAUUUAAUUUUUGUACCUUGUGUAUCAGGGUUUAUUAAAUAAAUAUAUUUAUUUAUAAUUCUCGAAUUUAAAAGAGCUAAAAAUUUAAAAUUAUUAUUGUAGAAUAAAUAAGAUUAAAUUUUUUUUUAGUAAUGAAAUGUUAUUCGUUUUUAAAUAUAUCUAGUUUUUUAAGAAAUUAAUUAAAUUAAUUUAUUAUUAAUAUAUUUUUAUAUAAUUAAUUAUAUAUUUGUAAUAUAAAAUAUUUUUAGGGAUGAGCUUAAAAAUUUAUUUUUAUUAAAAUUUAUCAUUGAAAUUUAAAAUUAGAAUUAAAAAUUUUCAUAUUUUGAAAUAUGUUAUUAUUUAUUAAUAUUAAAUAUUAUUUUUAUUUUUUAUAAAUAUUUUAUUAAAAUAUAAAUUUAAAUUAUAAAAAUUUAGAAAUUAUGAUAAAAUUAGUAUAUUAUUAAUGUUUAUAAUUAUUAAAUUAUAAGGUUUAAUAAAGGAAUUCGGCAAAUUAUUUUUCACCUGUUUAUUAAAAACAUGUCUUUUUGUUUAAAUAUAAAGUCUAGCCUGCCCAUUGAUAUUAUUGAAUGGCCGCGGUAUUUUGACCGUGCUAAGGUAGCAUAAUCAUUAGUUUUUUAAUUGAAAGCUGGAAUGAAGGGUUGGAUGAAAAAAUAGCUGUCUCUAUUAAAAUAUAAUAGAAUUUUAUUUUUAAGUUAAAAAGCUUAAAUAUUAUUAAAAGACGAGAAGACCCUAUAGAGUUUUAUAAUUAAUUAUAUUAUUUUUUUAGAAUUCAUUUUUUAAUAAAAAUUAAUUUUUUAAUUGGGGUGAUUAAAAAAUUUAAUGAACUUUUUUUAUAUUUUUAUAUUAAUUUAUAAAUAAUUGAUCCAGAGUUUUUGAUUAUAAGAUAAAAUUACCUUAGGGAUAACAGCGUAAUUUUAUUAGAGAGUUCUUAUCGAUAAUAAAGAUUGCGACCUCGAUGUUGGAUUAAAAUUUAUAAUUGGUGUAGAAGCUAUAUUAUUAAGUCUGUUCGACUUUUAAAAUUUUACAUGAUCUGAGUUUAAACCGGUGUAAGCCAGGUUGGUUUCUAUCUUUAAUUGAUUAAUAUAUUUUAGUACGAAAGGACCAAAUAUAUAAAUAAUAUUUUUAGUUUGAUUAAAAUUAUUAUUUUGGCAGAUUAGUGCAAUAGAUUUAGAAUCUUUUUAUGUAAUUAAUUAAU